AUUGAACGCUAGCGGGAUGCCUUACACAUGCAAGUCGAACGGAACGGCGAACGGGUGAGUAAUGUAUCGGAACGUGACCAGUAGCGGGGGAUAACUACGCGAAAGCGUAGCUAAUACCGCACACUAUUGAUGCGGUGGAUAUCGGAUUAACUAGUUGGUGGGGUAACGGCUCACCAAGGCGACGAUCCGUAGCUGGUUUGUGAGGACGACCAGCCAAACUGGGACUGAGAUACGGCCCAGACUCCUACGGGAGGAAGCAGUGGGGAAUUUUGGACAAGGGGGGAAACCCUGAUCCAGCCAUCCCGCGUGUGCGAGGAAGGCCUUCGGGUUGUAAAGCACUUUUGGCAGGAAAGCGGUACCUGCAGAAUAAGCACCGGCUAACUACGUGCCAGCAGCCGCGGUAAUAC
rnacentral:rRNA from 1 species